rnacentral:lncRNA from 1 species
CUUUUAACAAAAUCAAUAUAUAUUCAUGUAUAUAUUACAAGUUGGCAGUUCUAAUGUUGUUGAAAUUAGAUAAAUUAGAAGUAGACAUUUCUCUAUUUACACACCUUUCAUUCCAAAUUCACGAUCAAAAAUCCAACAUCAAAACACGCUCUUCCACAUCAUAAACCUCUCACACAAAACAUUUCCUUACACACAAGUUGUUUACGAGUUUCAAGUGGUCGCGUCACAAGACUCCCUCCAUGAGUAAAAACUACGCAGUAACGUGAAAAGAGCAAGCAUGGACGUUCACCCACGCGCGUGGUAUUUAUUACGAAAAAAAAAACACAGUGUACCGAGUUACGCGUGGACACUCAUUCUCAGAGUUUGUCUUCGUCGGAGUGCUCGGGACAGAAGGAUGAAAAGAAAAAGGGACGAGGCAAAAAGGCAGGAAAACAGCGUGGAACAAUAACGGUGCACGUUUAUCCUCGGACGACAGAGCACGCGAUGGAUUCCUUUGUAAGUGGACGUCCCCCACCAUCUUGGAAAGCCACUUAAACGCGCCUGCGCAGUUGCAACAUAUGCGUGCACAUAACCAUGGGGAACAUGGACAUCUGCGCGGGAACAGCUGCAAUUGGCGAACGAUCAGCCCGGAUGCAAGGCAUUCCUUGUGACUAAUCGAAUUUCGAUAAUUCAAAUUUGAAGUCCAAUAAUAAACUUUACAUGUUCCAAGUCUUUGAUUUCACCUCCAUCCAUUGCAUCGUUCCGAAUUAAAACAAUUUCCAUUGAACAAAUCAAAAGAAAAGGAAAACCAAGUACUCCAAAGUAGCCGAUCUCGAAAGCGAGAAUUAACGAGCGAUCUUGAAAUCGUGAGGGUUGUCUUAAUUAGAUCGCGACUCCGUCUUCGUCGGUGUUCUUUUUCAAACUCGAGGGCACACGCUGUUGGAAAUCGUUGAAACGAUGCAGAAAUAACGAGAACCGGAAAGGAGAGAAAGAGAAAGAAAGAGAAAGAGGAGUUUGAAGUGCAUGGUGGGCCCUCGACCGAUCAAAGCAGAUUCGCAAAGUUGGCCCAAAGAACAAGGAAUACCGAGUGGCUCUCCUCUCGUCGAAUGUAUCAACGAUCAAAGGGUUAAUACGCGUUGGAAAUUCCUUUUUUUCCGUUGUCGAAAAGAUUAAUGAAGCUGUUUUGCAAAAUUUUGAUGAUCGAGGAAGAAAAUUAAAAAA